CUCAUCAUCACUUUCACCAAAUCAUCUUUCUCUUUCACUAUGGCCAACAACAUCUCAGUGCAUGAAAGAAUAUGAUAACAACGUUUGUGACUCUGGUGUUGAUACUUCUCUUCACCUGUAGCAUUUAAAGUGAAUCUACGAAAUUGCGUCUAAUUGCAUCAUUGAUUGGAAGGAAAUACUACAUUCUUUUUAACACUUCCUACUACUUCAAGGAGAAGGAAGAUUGUGAACUUCUACUUUAGGGAGACACCAAUUAGACACAUUAAUAUAACUCACUGAUGUGUCUAAUAACUACGUCUAUCAUUGUUAAGUUUCGAACUAUGUGAAUUUAGCAUGUUAUAUAACUAUGUGAAUUUAAUAAAUAUGUAUAGAAGUACAAAUCUCUUUGAGGA